UAAUUACAAUACAUACAUAAGAAACCAAUAAUCAAAUACAAAUUAAGUCAAGAAAACACAUAAAAAUGUUUUUUGGCUCUCUAUUACCUAUAUGUAGAAUGUGAAUUCAUUUAACAGGGCCAGUUUUUUCGUUGCAACAUAUUUGGUUGGUUGGUCCCUUGUACGUGAGCCCUGGCUAACUAAGCCAGCCUAACUCCUUCCAGAAGCACAGAAGCUUCCUGGGUACUUCGCAGGCUUCACGGAGCGACGUCACUGUUCCGAGGAUUUCUGUACGUUGUUUAGCCACAGCCUCGCAUUCCAGGACUACGUGGGUGACUUUUUCCUCUGUUGCAACAUAUUGCAAAAUUGUUUAAAUUAACAACAAUAACUCCUGUUAGAUUAACACAAGUUAUUAUUGAGUUUUAGGCUCCUAUGAAAUUAUCGUCACUAUAAUAAGAUAUGUAUUCCGGUUUAAAUUACUAAUAAUUGUACUAAUCAUAUACAUAAUUGGUUUA